CCUGCUCACUCCCCUUUAUAACUGGCCCUAGGAGUAGCAAGCCUCAAGCUUGCCCAAUUGGGCAGAGGGAUCAUCCUCGGAUCAUCCCCGUUGUUUCCAGCCUGACAGCCACAGACGAUCUUCUCAGCAACUGUGUUUUGUCUUCUGGACCACUGACAAGGAACAUCUCCCUGAUAGGAAAUGGUUUUACAGAUUUGAAAGAAAAUCGACUCAAAAGCUGAAAAUGUUGUGAAGAGAAGACUUAGUGUUGUUGGGCUGUGAAAACAAAAUAAAUUAUUGCCUCACAGAAUGAA